ACGGGGGUUGCGAGCGUUGUCCGGAAUUACUAGGCGUAAAGGGCAGGUAGGCGGAUCUAUAAGUUUUUCGUUUAAGGCGUCAGCUUAACUGGCGUACGGCGGGAGAUACUGUAAAUCUGGAAUGCGGUUGGGGAAGACAGAAGUCCUGGUGUAGCGGUGAAAUGCGCAGAUAUCAGGAGGAAUACCGAAGGCGAAGGCAUUCAUCCGAGCCGUCAUUGACGCUCAACUGCGAAAGUGUGGGUAUCAAACAG
rnacentral:rRNA from 1 species